AAAGUUUUUGGAUAAAACUUUUAGGAUUAUGGGAAUUAAAACGACCCAAAGAAUCAACCAAGAAAUCCACAGGACACUUUUUCUGGAAUAAAGGAUUGUCCUUUAUAAUGAAAGGGGGUAUGGGUCUCGGUAGUUGUGCCCCUAACUCCUUUAUCCAACUUUUUCUGCAAUUUCUCUUCUAGUUGGCGCUGGUGGAAGGUUGCAGAUUGCUCAACCGGUUUCCCCCUGGUAGCAAAAAUGCCUGUGUGACGUACUGUGUCCUUUACAAACACACACCCACAAACCCCACGUCCUUCUCUUGUUUCCAAGAAGACAAGCAAGGACAUUUGCAUUGUGGCCCUGAAAAGUUUGCUUUGGCUCUUGGGAGUUUUUAGCUGACUUUCUCUCUUUACCUGGGUGGGUUUAUAUAACUUCCUGCAGCUCCUGUGAAAAGUUGGGGGGUUUAAAGUCAGCUCAGUUUUCCAAGAAUCCAGGAGAGGGCAUUCUUUGAAAAAAUAAUAAUCAACAACAACAACAACAACAGAAUUUCGAGUACCUGUUGAAUUUUCAAGGAGAUAGGCGGUGAUUGACAGAAAACAGACCUACCCAAGAACCAUUCGAAGAGAAGACCAUGGCUUGCGUUACCUUGACAAUAAGGUGCCAAGUCUCGGCUGCUAGGAUUCUGCGGUCCGUCUGCCUCGUUUCUUCCAGAAGCUUCAGCGGGGGCGAAAUCCCUUCGGUGGCUCAGAAUUUUACAGACUACAAAUCCAUUUGCGAACAGUAUAAACCGGAAGUGCCGGAAUAUUUCAAUUUUGCCAAAGAUGUGGUAGACAGCUGGGCCCAGUCAGAAAAGGAAGGAAGGCGCCCCCCCAGCCCUGCUUUUUGGUGGGUCAGUGAGCAAGAAACCCAAGUGAAGUGGACUUUUGCACAGCUGGCCUUGGAGUCCCGAAAAGCCGCCACGGUGCUGUCUGAGCAGGGUGGCCUGCGAGAAGGAGACCGAGUGGUGGUGAUUCUUCCCCGUAUUCCCGAAUGGUGGCUCUUGAACUUGGCUUGUAUCCGAACAGGAGCCGUGAUGAUUCCUGGAACUACGCAGCUGACAGCGAAAGACCUCCACCACCGCUUAGAGGCUUCCAAAGCCAAGUGUAUCAUCACGGACUCUGCCUUGGCCCCUGUGGUGGACAUGGUAGCUUCCAAAUGCCCAUCCCUGGAGUUGAAAUUUAUGGUAUCCAAGGACCACAGGGAAGGCUGGAUAAGCUUCAGCGAUAUGUUGGAGCUUGUGUCUCCAGAGCACACUUGUGUGGCCACGAAAAGCAGUGAUCCGAUGGCCAUAUAUUUCACCAGCGGUACGACAGGAGCUCCCAAAAUGACCGAGCAUUCCCAUGCGAGCCAUGGAAUUGGACUUGGCUUCAAUGGAAGGUAUUGGCUUGAUUUGACUCCCUCCGACCUGAUCUGGAAUACGUCAGACACCGGCUGGGCGAAAUCUGCCUGGAGUAGUGUUUUUGCUCCUUGGACCCAAGGAGCAGGGAUAUUUGUCCAUCACAUGCCACGAUUUGAUCCCAAACUUGUCCUUGAAAUGCUGUCCAAGUUUCCCAUCACGACUUUCUGUUCCGCGCCAACUGUUUAUCGGAUGCUCGUCCAACACGAUUUAAGCAGUUAUAAAUUCCAGAACCUCAAACAUUGUGUGAGUGCGGGAGAACCUAUCAAUCCUGAAGUGAUGGGCCAGUGGAAAAUAGAAACCGGCCUGGACAUCUACGAAGGCUACGGGCAGACGGAAACUGUGCUGGUUUGUGGAACUUUCAAGGGUAUGAAAAUCAAGCCAGGCUCUGUGGGGAAACCAACACCAGUGUAUGAUACUCAGGUACUGUUAUCUGUUAAUACUCCAGGAAAAGCGGAGUGGGAGGCAGGGAGGCAGAGAUGGAGGAACGUGUAUGGCUGCGUCCAUUUUCCCGUUUCUUUUGUUUAUACGCUGGCUUCUUUCUGGGCCAAAUGUACAGGUAGUGUCGUGUCCCACUCCUCCUCUGACGGCCGGGUUGGGGAAGUCCGUAUCAAGCGUGGCUGCAAAGCCUCUGCAGCUUUGCCAAAGUUCUGCCAGAGUUCUCAGGGCAGGCAGGAGACCAGAAUGUGACUUCAGCAAUCCAAGUUAGACUUUGCCUGACUCAAAGAAUGCCAGAAAGCAGAUCCUUUAUAUAGGCCAUGGGGUGUGGCUCCAUGACUCAGCACUUAUCCAGGCUUGCCCCUCCCUUCCUUUUGCUGACGUCGCCUCUCCACUCUCCGGAAGCGUGGGUCCUUCCAGCCUCCAGCUGCCGGCAAUUCCAGCUUGUGACUGGCUUCACACUCCCCAGGCUCACAUGCUGUGGGGGAGGGGCCCAGCUGCUCCGUUUGUCCGGGCAUGGUGCCAGGACUGGGGGCUGGAGGCAUGUCAGGCCAUUCGUCUUGCUCGGUCUGUCCGGGCAUGGUGCCAGGACUGGGGGCUGGAGGCAUGCCAGGACAUUCUUCUGCAGUAUCAGCGUCCGGCAGGAGACGAGAGGGGCCUGGCUGCGGAGAGGGGGGCGAACGAGGCACAACAGGUAGACUUUCACUUACGACCGCAACCGAGCCCAACAUGCGACAUUUGUUAAGUGAGUUUUACAACCUUUCUUGCCACCGUUGUUAAGUGAAUCGUUGCACUUCUUCAGUGAGUAAGCCAGUUGUUAAGUGAAAGGGGAUCACGCAAUCAGUGGUGGGAUGCUGCCGGUUUAACAACCGGUUCACUGCGCGGGCAGGCAGAGUUUUACAAAUACUAACCUUCUGUGUUACCACUUGGGAGUAACACAGCUGAGGCGCGACAAUCCGCUCUGCCACGCCAAUCAGCUGAGAAGAUAAAGACGGGGUGGCGACCUGAUCGUUGGAGCAAACCUGUUCACCCAAACCGGUCUGAACCGGUCAAAUCUCACCUCUGCACGUGACUCUUGGAUGCUGCAACCGUCGUAAAUAUGAGCCAGUUACCAAGCAUCUGAGUUUUGAUCGCAUGACCGUGGGGAUUUUUUCCCAGUGUCGUUUGUAACGUCGAAGAGUCACGAGACGAACUGUUGUACGUCGAGGUCCACCUGUACCUGUUUCAUAAAAUUCGUUUUGCUCUUUGUGCUGAAGGUCAUAGAUGAAAACGGCAACAUUUUACCUCCCGGGAAAGAAGGCGACCUCGCACUCCGAAUCAAACCCACAAGGCCGUUCUGCCUCUUCACUCAAUAUACCCUGAUCACACAUCCAGGAAGAUCAAGAAAGGACAGCUUCGACCC